AGAGUUUGAUCCUGGCUCAGGACGAACGCUGGCGGCGUGCUUAACACAUGCAAGUCGAACGGUGAAGUCAGAGCUUGCUCUGGCGGAUCAGUGGCGAACGGGUGAGUAACACGUGAGUAACCUGCCCCCGACUCUGGGAUAACUGCUAGAAAUGGUAGCUAAUACCGGAUAUGACGACUGGCCGCAUGGUCUGGUCGUGGAAAGAACUUCGGUUGGGGAUGGACUCGCGGCCUAUCAGGUAGUUGGUGAGGUAAUGGCUCACCAAGCCUACGACGGGUAGCCGGCCUGAGAGGGUGACCGGCCACACUGGGACUGAGACACGGCCCAGACUCCUACGGGAGGCAGCAGUGGGGAAUAUUGCACAAUGGGCGAAAGCCUGAUGCAGCAACGCCGCGUGAGGGAUGACGGCCUUCGGGUUGUAAACCUCUUUUAGUAGGGAAGAAGCGAAAGUGACGGUACCUGCAGAAAAAGCACCGGCUAACUACGUGCCAGCAGCCGCGGUAAUACGUAGGGUGCAAGCGUUGUCCGGAAUUAUUGGGCGUAAAGAGCUCGUAGGCGGUUUGUCGCGUCUGCUGUGAAAUCCCGAGGCUCAACCUCGGGUCUGCAGUGGGUACGGGCAGACUAGAGUGCGGUAGGGGAGAUUGGAAUUCCUGGUGUAGCGGUGGAAUGCGCAGAUAUCAGGAGGAACACCGAUGGCGAAGGCAGAUCUCUGGGCCGUAACUGACGCUGAGGAGCGAAAGCAUGGGGAGCGAACAGGAUUAGAUACCCUAGUAGUCC
rnacentral:rRNA from 1 species